CAGGGAAUCUUGCACAAUGGGCGAAAGCCUGAUGCAGCGACGCCGCGUGGGGGAUGAAGGCCUUAGGGUCGUAAACCCCUUUCAGCAGGGACGAAAAUGACGGUACCUGCAGAAGAAGCCCCGGCCAACUACGUGCCAGCAGCCGCGGUAAGACGUAGGGGGCGAGCGUUGUCCGGAUUUAUUGGGCGUAAAGAGCUCGUAGGCGGUUGCGUAAGUCGGAUGUGAAAACUCAGGGCUCAACCCUGAGACGCCAUCCGAUACUGCGCUGACUUGAAUCCAGUAGGGGAGUGUGGAAUUCCUGGUGUAGCGGUGAAAUGCGCAGAUAUCAGGAGGAACACCCAUGGCGAAGGCAGCACUCUGGGCUGGUAUUGACGCUGAGGAGCGAAAGCAUGGGUAGCGAACAGGAUUAGAUACCCCGGUAGUCCUGAGCGG
rnacentral:rRNA from 1 species